rnacentral:rRNA from 1 species
AGAGUUUGAUCAUGGCUCAGAAUCAACGCUGGCGGCGUGCCUCAGACAUGCAAGUCGAACGCGAAAGGGUCCUUCGGGAACUGAGUAGAGUGGCGCACGGGUGAGUAACACGUAGGUAAUCUACCUUCGGGUGGGGAAUAACCCAGGGAAACUUGGGCUAACACCGCAUAAUGCAGCGGCACCACAUGGUGACAGUUGUUAAAGCGGGGGAUUUUCGGACCUCGCGCCUGAAGAGGAGCCUGCGGCGGAUUAGCUAGUUGGUAGGGUAACGGCUUACCAAGGCGACGAUCCGUAACCGGCCUGAGAGGGCGGUCGGUCACACUGACACUGACAUACGGGUCAGACUCCUACGGGAGGCAGCAGUCGGGAAUUUUGGGCAAUGGGCGAAAGCCUGACCCAGCAACGCCGCGUGAAGGAUGAAAUCCCUCGGGAUGUAAACUUCGCAAGAAUGGGAAGAAUGAACGAGCGCUAAUACCGUUCGUGAUGACGGUACCAUUUGUAAGCUCCGGCUAACUCCGUGCCAGCAGCCGCGGUAAUACGGGGGGAGCAAGCGUUGUUCGGAUUUACUGGGCGUAAAGGGCGCGUAGGCGGCCAGCGCAAGUCGGUUGUGAAAUCUCCGGGCUUAACUCGGAAAGGUCAACUGAUACUGCGCGGCUAGAGUGCGGAAGGGGCAACUGGAAUUCUCGGUGUAGCGGUGAAAUGCGUAGAUAUCGAGAGGAACACCUGCGGCGAAGGCGGGUUGCUGGGCCGACACUGACGCUGAUGCGCGAAAGCCAGGGGAGCGAACGGGAUUAGAUACCCUAGUAGCC